UACGACGGGGGCUAGCGUUGUUCGGAAUCACUGGGCGUAAAGCGCACGCAGGCGGAUCGAUAAGUCGGGGGUGAAAGCCCGGGGCUCAACCUUGGAAUUGCCUUCGAUACUGUCGGUCUCGAGUCCGGGAGAGGUGAGUGGAAUUCCUAGUGUAGAGGUGAAAUUCGUAGAUAUUAGGAAGUACACCAGUGGCGAAGGCGGCUCACUAGCCCGGUACUGACGCUCAGGUGCGAAAGCGUGGGGAGCAAACAGG
rnacentral:rRNA from 1 species